rnacentral:rRNA from 1 species
UCGAACGAUGAACCCGCUUGCGGGGGAUUAGUGGCGAACGGGUGAGUAACACGUGAGUAACCUGCCCUUAACUCUGGGAUAAGCCUUGGAAACGGGGUCUAAUACUGGAUAUUGACUUUACCUCGCAUGGGGUUUUGUUGAAAGAUUUAUUGGUUUUGGAUGGACUCGCGGCCUAUCAGCUUGUUGGUGAGGUAAUGGCUCACCAAGGCGACGACGGGUAGCCGGCCUGAGAGGGUGACCGGCCACACUGGGACUGAGACACGGCCCAGACUCCUACGGGAGGCAGCAGUGGGGAAUAUUGCACAAUGGGCGAAAGCCUGAUGCAGCGACGCCGCGUGAGGGAUGACGGCCUUCGGGUUGUAAACCUCUUUCAGUAGGGAACAAGGCCAGCAUUUUUGUUGGUUGAGGGUACUUGCAGAAGAAGCGCCGGCUAACUACGUGCCAGCAGCCGCGGUAAUACGUAGGGCGCAAGCGUUAUCCGGAAUUAUUGGGCGUAAAGAGCUCGUAGGCGGUUUGUCGCGUCUGCCGUGAAAGUCCGGGGCUCAACUCCGGAUCUGCGGUGGGUACGGGCAGACUAGAGUGAUGUAGGGGAGACUGGAAUUCCUGGUGUAGCGGUGAAAUGCGCAGAUAUCAGGAGGAACACCGAUGGCGAAGGCAGGUCUC